rnacentral:lncRNA from 1 species
UUAAGAGUUGAUGAACCAGCCAAGCCCACAGAUAAGAGCACUGCUGCUGAAAAAGCAGAGUGGGCAGCUUGGGAUGAAUCCAAUAGACACUGUCUGGAUACAAUGAAAUACACCAUUGAUAGAACCACUAGAGAUAGCAUCCCUGCAUGUGAUAAGGCCAAAGAUUACUUGGCAGCUGUGGGAAGAACCUUUAAGAAGGUAGAUAAGGCAGAAAAGGGUAACUAUCUGAGGCUGCUUGCUAAUACCCAGUAUGAUGGUGUUUCUGGGGUCAGAGAACACAUCCUUAAGAUGACUAGUUACCAUAAGAAGCUGAAGGACAUGGAUGUCACUUUGCCUGAUGACUACCUGGUCUUCCAAAUCCUUGAAUCUCUUCCACCACAAUUUGGCAAUUUGAGAAGCCAAUACAAUACUCAGAGAGACACUUGGAAUAUCACUGAGUUGACUGCUUAUGUGGUUCAGGAAGAGGAAUCAUUGAAGAAGGGGAAAUCUCACACUGUCAUGGUGGCAACUACUCAAGAGAGUGGAAGUGUGAAGAAAGGCUCUUCAAAGGGCAGCAAUAAGUUUUUUAAGAAGAAAAAGUUUGGCAAGAAAACUUCACGUGGUAAUUCUUCUACCACUUUUGGUUCCACUGCUGAGAGCUUUAAGGGAAAGUGCCACUUUUGUAAGAAACCUGGGCACAAGAGAGCUGAAUGCAGGGGUUCAAAGCAUGGUUGGAAAAGAAAGGUAUUCAUGUAGCUUUUGUAGGCUUUGAAUCUAAUCUAGUUAAUGUUCCUUCUGAUACUUGGUGGUUGGAUACUGGUGCAACCAUUAAUAUAACGAAUUCCUUACAGGAAUUCAGAAGCAGGAGGGAGCCCAAUGAAGGGGAGUUGAUAGUUCACAUGGGUAAUGGAGUGACAGCCAAAGUUGAAAGCAUAGGAGUUGUCAGACUACAUCUAGC